UACGUAGGGUGCAAGCGUUAAUCGGAAUUACUGGGCGUAAAGCGUGCGCAGGCGGUUAUGUAAGACAGGUGUGAAAUCCCCGGGCUUAACCUGGGAACUGCAUUUGUGACUGCAUGGCUAGAGUACGGUAGAGGGGGAUGGAAUUCCGUGUGUAGCAGUGAAAUGCGUAGAGAUCGGCAGGAACACCCAGGGGGAAACCAGUCGACUGGGCAUCUACUGACGCUGAGGUGCGAGAGCGUGGGGAGCGAACCGG
rnacentral:rRNA from 1 species